GAUGUUGGCAGCCAUUAAUGUUGGGAGUCUUUACGAUCGUUUGAUAGAAACGAAUUUAGCAAAUAGUAUAUUUCCCGAAGCCAGCUAAAAUGGGGAACGAGUCGUCACUUCCGAUGGAAAUGUGUUCGCAUUUUGAUGCAGAUGAAAUUAAAAGAUUAGGAAAACGUUUUAAGAAAUUGGAUCUUGACAAUUCAGGUUCACUGAGUGUAGAAGAAUUCAUGUCAUUGCCAGAGUUACAACAAAAUCCCUUAGUGCAAAGAGUUAUAGAUAUCUUUGAUACAGAUGGAAAUGGGGAAGUUGAUUUUAAAGAGUUUAUACAAGGUGUAUCACAGUUUAGUGUCAAGGGGGAUAAGGAUUCAAAAUUAAGAUUUGCCUUUCAGAUAUAUGACAUGGACAAAGAUGGGUACAUAUCAAAUGGUGAGCUGUUUCAAGUUUUAAAGAUGAUGGUGGGUAGUAAUUUGAAAGAUACUCAACUUCAGCAGAUAGUGGACAAAACCAUUAUAAAUGCAGAUACAGAUGGUGAUGGUAGGAUAUCCUUUGAUGAAUUUUGUGCAGUUGUUGGCAACACAGAUAUUCACAAAAAAAUGGUAGUGGAUGUAUAACAGAGCUUGAAUCAAUUUUCCCUUCAUUUCAUACCAUACUUUUACCUUUUUCAUCUCUGUGUCCAAUAAAUGUAAUUUUCAAUGCUGCAGUGCAGCACUUCUUUUUCACUUCUCCCAAUAAUCUAAGACCUAGAUUAGAUAUCAUUUCUUCUUUCUAUUUAAUAUUGAAAUUAUUCUUUAUUCAAAGUAUCACUUUUUUCAGUCCUUUUUAUUUUUGAAUAUUUUUCACGUUUUCAUGGUAUUUAAAAAAUUAAUUAAUGUUUAAACAAGACAAACUUCUGCGAUGUAUUAUGUGUGACUGUCAACUCUUGGGAUUGUUGGUUCUUUUUAACACCUAUUAUCAUUUGUGGUGUGCAUCAAUUAUUUUGAUAUGCUGCUUUGAAAACCUGUUUACUUUUGGGUUUAAUUAUUGGCCUUGAUUUUCAAUAAAUACCUCUCACUUUAUCACAAACAUUAAUUUUUAGAUAAAAGAUGUUAAUUGGGACAUUACUUUGAUUCUUGUAGAGUUCUUGUUUUUCAUUGAAUUUUGUACAUGUUUGAAUGGUCAUUUGUUUAGGUUGUCUUCUGUGCUGGUCAUUUUGGUAACUUUCAGGUGUUGCCCAUCUGUGGUCCAUUCUACUUUGAAUUCUACUAGGUGUCUCCCAUCUCAAGUCACUUCUGCUAAAAAUUUUACUAUAUCUCUUCUGCUGGUCAAUUCUUUCCUAGAAUUCUACUAGGUGUCUUUCAUCUCAAGUCAAUUCUGCUUAGAAUUGUACUAGGGGGUCUCCCAUCUGCUGGUCAAUUCUUCUCAGAUUCAACUUGGUUUCACUUUUCCACCGGUCAGUUCUGCUUAGUAUUGUAUUAGGAGUCUCUCAUCUGCUGGUCAAUUCUACUUAGAAUUCUACCCGGCUUCACCCAUUCGCUUAUAAAUAUCGUGAAUACAACAAAUGCAUAUACAUAUUUGCCAUUACAAAUUAAAUAACUUUGUCAAUAUUUCUGAUCUUUUCAUAAUUAUUAAUUGGCCAAUCGUCCCAGCAGGUAUAUUGACAGCAGAUUGAUGUAAUCUGUAUUUACACGGUUUCAGGUGAAUUUAUAGCCAAGGUCUCUGUCUAAAUAUUUUCAUAUAUAUUAUGCCUAGCACUCACAAUUUUUAGUUUGUGAUCAAUGUUGUAUUUUGCAUUGUAUUAAGUUUUGUCAACAUUUUAAGUGAAAGUUAUUUGUAACUUUUGUAUUGUUUUCUUCCUAAUAAAUUAUUUGAAUAUAACUACUUGUUCAUUUCUAAACACUGUUGUUGGCCAAAUGUUAUCUUAAAAUUUAACCAGUUGCUCAUCAACGUGGAAAUUUCUUUGUGUGAAUCAACUUAAGGUUGAUCAAUAGUUUCAUGAAAGUCUUUACAUUUUUUAUUUAUUUUGCAAACAGAUUGCUCAUUGCUAUAAAGGUCAUAUGUGAAAAAAGAAAUAGGACAACAUUUUUUAAAUAAACUUGAUGUUUAUUGUACAUGAAUUAGAGUCAAGACUGUAUGGAGGUAAAGUUAAACAUAACUAUAUUUAAAGAAAAAAAGCCAUCGAUUCAUCUGUAAAGAUAAGGAAGUUUCAGUAUUUAUUUUGUAUGCUAAUGUAUAGACAAUAAAACGUGUUCUUAGGUGAGACCUCCUGUAUGUCCAGUUAGAGUCCAUCAUCGUUAAUAACAGAUGAAAUUAACAUUGUUUUUUUGCAUUCACCAAAAAAAGUUUUUUUUUUGGUUUUUUUUUUUUUACAAGUAUGCAUAUUUGUCAGUAAAGAAAUUUGAACUUUUCUUUCUUGUAUAUGUUGCAUGAAAUACAUAACAUUAGCAUAAUAUUCAUUUUUAUUCCAACACUGAACUUUCAAAAAUGGAUAGGGUAAAGAAAAUGGUGUAUUACUUGCACACACAACUGUGCAAAGAACGAAAAUGAAACUAUAUUGAUCAACCUUAAGUCAGUUUGAAUAUUAUUGGUGUUUUAGGUAAAAAUGCAGUCCCCGUAAUAUGGAUUAGGGACAUGAUUAUGAUUACUUUAGAAGCAAUAGUUUCCUGGGGGAAGUGAUAAAUAUAUUUUCUGACAUAAAAAUCAAACAUUAUUGCUAUGAAUUAUGUGAAUGACAAAAUGUUGGCAAAGCUGUAAGUUAUUUACAUAUGGUAUAUAAAAUUCCCACCAAUAACUUAGGGAGUUAAUCCCACAACUUGGAACAGAUAAUUAUUAUAGAACAUGUAUGGCUCACAUAUAUCCAAACUCAUUGUGUGUGCAUUAAUAGGUGGUUUUAAAUCUUGUCCAGCACGUUCUGUAAUGUACAUAAUUUUUUGUUCCAAAUUGUGUUUAGUUGACUGUACUUUUGACUGUUGACUGAUAUUUGUACUAAACUUCACCAGAUUUCUUUCAUUUCAAGUAUUUCCUUUGUUCAAUUUGUACUGAAUUUAAGAAAAUGAUACCUCAGUCUCACUGUCAUAAAUGAAGACCACAAUUUACAUCUUGAUAUUGUCAAGACUGGGUUAUGUAAAUAAAAUAACUUAUCAAAUUUCAUGGAUCUUAAAACCCAAAAAAAACUCAAAUAUUAUAUAGAAAUGAGCAUAGAUCCUAGAGCUUUGUGGCUCAGUUUUAUUUUAUGAAAAAGGAAAUUGAAAAGUAGUGAUGUAAUUGCAAGGAAUUGAAGAUUUAAUCUUCCUCAGUUAUACUACUUUGUGAUGAACUAUUAAAAUUGCUGGUCGACACUCCCAUCUCUCACAGAUUCCUGAAUGCAUGCUUGUUACUGCAGAAUGGAUAGUUUUACUCUACUCCAUAUUUGUUUAUACCAAGACAUAAUUUUUGCUAUACACGCACAUGUUCAAAACUUGCUUUACUUUGUUCUUGUAGCAGUUUCACUGUUGUGACGAUGUUAAUAAUUAUUAAAUGGUCAACACAUUUUUU